rnacentral:rRNA from 1 species
ACAUGCAAGUCGAGCGAACGGACGAGAAGCUUGCUUCUCUGAUGUUAGCGGCGGACGGGUGAGUAACACGUGGAUAACCUACCUAUAAGACUGGGAUAACUUCGGGAAACCGGAGCUAAUACCGGAUAAUAUUUUGAACCGCAUGGUUCAAAAGUGAAAGACGGUCUUGCUGUCACUUAUAGAUGGAUCCGCGCUGCAUUAGCUAGUUGGUAAGGUAACGGCUUACCAAGGCAACGAUGCAUAGCCGACCUGAGAGGGUGAUCGGCCACACUGGAACUGAGACACGGUCCAGACUCCUACGGGAGGCAGCAGUAGGGAAUCUUCCGCAAUGGGCGAAAGCCUGACGGAGCAACGCCGCGUGAGUGAUGAAGGUCUUCGGAUCGUAAAACUCUGUUAUUAGGGAAGAACAUAUGUGUAAGUAACUGUGCACAUCUUGACGGUACCUAAUCAGAAAGCCACGGCUAACUACGUGCCAGCAGCCGCGGUAAUACGUAGGUGGCAAGCGUUAUCCGGAAUUAUUGGGCGUAAAGCGCGCGUAGGCGGUUUUUUAAGUCUGAUGUGAAAGCCCACGGCUCAACCGUGGAGGGUCAUUGGAAACUGGAAAACUUGAGUGCAGAAGAGGAAAGUGGAAUUCCAUGUGUAGCGGUGAAAUGCGCAGAGAUAUGGAGGAACACCAGUGGCGAAGGCGACUUUCUGGUCUGUAACUGACGCUGAUGUGCGAAAGCGUGGGGAUCAAACAGGAUUAGAUACCCUGGUAGUCCACGCCGUAAACGAUGAGUGCUAAGUGUUAGGGGGUUUCCGCCCCUUAGUGCUGCAGCUAACGCAUUAAGCACUCCGCCUGGGGAGUACGACCGCAAGGUUGAAACUCAAAGGAAUUGACGGGGACCCGCACAAGCGGUGGAGCAUGUGGUUUAAUUCGAAGCAACGCGAAGAACCUUACCAAAUCUUGACAUCCUUUGACAACUCUAGAGAUAGAGCCUUCCCCUUCGGGGGACAAAGUGACAGGUGGUGCAUGGUUGUCGUCAGCUCGUGUCGUGAGAUGUUGGGUUAAGUCCCGCAACGAGCGCAACCCUUAAGCUUAGUUGCCAUCAUUAAGUUGGGCACUCUAAGUUGACUGCCGGUGACAAACCGGAGGAAGGUGGGGAUGACGUCAAAUCAUCAUGCCCCUUAUGAUUUGGGCUACACACGUGCUACAAUGGACAAUACAAAGGGCAGCGAAACCGCGAGGUCAAGCAAAUCCCAUAAAGUUGUUCUCAGUUCGGAUUGUAGUCUGCAACUCGACUACAUGAAGCUGGAAUCGCUAGUAAUCGUAGA